GGAGAAUGGCGUCGGUUGAGGGUAUCUGUCGUACUUCUGCUUUCUUCUCGGGCUCGCUCGGGCAAGCCUUUGUCGGGCAGAUCUUGGUCGGGCAAGACACACUUCGGGCAAGGCUCGUCGGGCAGUUCUUAUCGGCCAAGGCUGAACUUCUUACAAAAUCUAUCUUUGUGGCUCUGUCAGAGGUCUGAAAGCUUUUAGAGGGGUUGACGGGGGAGAAGAGGAUACAAAAUGAAUCGAUACCACCAUGAACAAGGUAGCAGAGCUAUUACAGGGGUUUGGAAAGGUUUAUCCCGAAUGGGAUGAAGGCUUGUGCUGACUACAGCUUCGUUGAAGGCAAAUCUGGCUUGAGCAGAGUUUUGGCUUUUGUUUGUUUGUUUGAGUGUCCUUAAUUCUGUCUUCUCUUCCUCCUUUUAUAGACGACUUCAGCUUGGGUUCCUGUUGCAAUAGCGGUGCCCGAAUGCGGUUUGGUGAUGACUCACUAGCUUUUUUACAUGAAUGCCACCAAUAAAGUACUUUAUUGGGCUGUGUAGUGACUGAAUAGCCUACCCCCUGUGGUCUUUGAGCAGGUAAGCAGGUGGCCUUUGUAACUUGUGCCCAGUCGAAAGCCUCUUUCCUGCCUCCUAAGUUUUCCUCUGGGCCUUGGGUUUGGGCCGACUUUCUCUCUGGCCCAAAGUUCAGAUUUUAUCCCAAACAGUGCCCCCUUCAAUUGAUGUUAAGGUUGGGAUCCCAAGCGCCAACAUUAAAUGAAUAACAGCAUGCGUGCCCUUUGAGCUUCUUGCGACCUUUAAACUGCCUUCUGGUUCUCUAUAAAUUCUGGCUUUGGAAACCCUUUUCAAAUCAUCACCUCUUCUUCAUUUUGGUCUUCACCCUUCAUCCACCUUGAAUCCUUCCGUCUCCCCACUGAGAAAUGGGUUCCUCAGGUUUUGAGUGGAGUUUCCUGAAACUCCCCUUUCGUGAGAAAAAAAGAAAGUUUUCACCUGAUGAUUGCUACCUCCAACACCUUUGGUCAAUCACCCCUCUACCUCCAACACCCUUGGUCAGGCGGUCUCCUCUUGAUGACUGAUCUUCCCACAACUUGUGGUGAUAAGUCGGGCUUCAUCAUCAUAUAUGGUGAAGAUCUUGUGGGAGAGUCCUCUACCAAGCUCAUGUUGGCCGCACAACCCGAUCACCUGAUUGGGUUUCAACCAAGAAGAUAGCGGGAAACCAGUUGAAGACACCAACACUUUCAGAGAGGAUCAAAUGUAAUACAUAAGAUUUGGUAUCUUGUAAUCUCAUCAAUUUGUCGACAUGAAAUAAGUAUUUUUAUCUAUUUCUGCAUCUCUGCCUUCUUUAAAUGUUUGGAUGAACAAAAUACCGUAUGUGAAUUUCUAAGGUCCGUCUCACUCUGCUCCCUCUUCGAUAUAGCAAUCCCUAACAUCCCAUAAUGUAGGACAAUAUUUCUUCAAGAAUUUUGCAUUAAUAGGGUGUUUCUGCUCAUUGCCUUCGAGGUCUGCUAGAUAAUAUCCUCCUUUGUUCAAAACCCGACUAAUAAUAAAAGGACCUUCCCAUGUCGGGCUCCAUUUCCCGAAGCCACGCAGCUGAGCGCCUAGCGGGAGGACCGCUUUCCACGCUAAAUCUCCUUCCUUGAAAGACUUUAACUUCACCCUUUUGUUAUAAGCUCGGGCAACAGCAAUCUUUCCUUCUUGAAUCUGGUUCAAGGCUUCAAUUCGGGCUGCAUCCAGAUCUUCAAUACCUUGACACAUGGCUUCGAUAUAUUCUGCACUAUGCAACCCAAAUUGGUUUUGAAUUCUUACGGAACUGACGUUGAUUUCCAUAGGAAGCACUGCAUCUUGCCCGAAAGUCAAGGCAUAAGGAGUCGUGCCUGUCCCCGCUCUUUUAGAAGUCCGGUAUGCCCACAACGUGUUCCCUAGCAUCUCAUGCCACCUUUCUGGACUAUCAAUCACCAUCCUUUUAAUAAUGUUGACCAAGAUCUUGUUGCUAGCCUCUGCUUGCCCAUUUGACUCAGGGUAGUAUGGACUGGAUUGGAUCAUCUUUAUUUUGUACUUGCUUGCAAACUCUUCAACCUCCUUUGAAAUAAAAGAUGGCCCACGAUCCGUUACUAUAGUUUCAGGCACCCCAUACCUGUGCAGGAUCUUGGUCUCAAUAAAAUUCUUGACCACAGCUGAAGUUAUGGAUUUUACUGCCGAUGCUUCUACCCAUUUGGUGAAGUAGUCCGUUGCCACAAUUAUGAAAGUAUGUCCCUUACUAGAGGCCGGAUAAAUCUGCCCGAUGAAGUCCAUUGCCCAUCCUCGGAACGGCCAAGGCUUGACCACUGGAUUGAGAGGUACUGAUGGUACGUGCUGGAGAGGUCCAUGUCUCUGACAUUCUUCACAUCCGCGGGCAUAGGACUUACAAUCUUUUUCCAUGUCGGGCCAGAAAUAACCAUACCUUCUGAGUAGCCAUCUCAUCUUUGUUCCCGCUUGAUGUGCCCCACAUAUUCCCUCAUGUACUUCGGCCAUUACUCUCAUGGAUUCCUCUAGGCCUAAGCAUUUUAAUAGCAACCCAUCUGGGGUUUUUCUCAACAGAUUUUUUGUCCACAAGACAUACUUGGUUGCUUGCUGCCUGUUCUUCUUACUUGUGGGUGAAGAAGGAUCUUUCAGAUACUGAGUAAUAGGUGUCCUCCAAUCUUCCACCUCGGUCUCUAGAACCAUUACAUCCAGACUGAACCUCCGAUCUAAGAUAGAGGGAAGGUUUCUUGUUUGGAUCUCAACAUCAACACCAUACUUCCUUUCUUGCAUUGGCACUCCUGAAGCUAGUUGCGCCAUUUCAUUGGCUGCCAAGUUAGAUCCCCUAGGAAUGUGAUUGACUGAUAUCUCAGACUCCCACAAACUCAGCAGUUGUGUUGCUGCCAUAUAGUACCCUGCCAUAGUGAUAUGUCUACAUUUGAACUCGCCAUUUAGUUGAUUUAUCACUAACUCUGAAUCACCAAAAGAUCUCUACUUCAGUUGCCCCCAAGUCCAUCAGGAUUUCCAGGCCGAUAAUCAAUGCCUCAUACUCCGCCCGAUUAUUGGUAUUUUCUUGAUAAUCAAGUAGGAAGGAAUAGUAAUGAUAAACCCCUUAAGGGUUUAUAAUCACAAUUCCAGCUCUUGCUGCCUUCUGAGUGUAGGAUCCAUCGAAAUAUAGCUUCCAAGGUGUCCAAAGACCUGCUACUCUCCUUAUCUCUUGCUGGAUCCAAUCUUCUUUGCCCGAAACAUCACUUCUUGGUGGGAUCCAUACAUUAGCAACUUCUAAACUUCCCGGGAUAUUGAUUUCCUCGCUUUGAGACUCUUGAUGUUCGGUCAGGAAGUCAGCAAUUGCCUGGCCUUUGACUGCCCUCUGGGGUAUGUACUGAAAACUGAAUUCUGAUAAUGCUAGAAUCCACUUCCCAAUCAUCCCUGCUAGCAUAGGUCUUGACAACAUAUACUUUAUCACAUCUGUUUUGGCGAUAAUGUGCACAUGACAAGGUAGCAUGUAAUGCCUUAGCUUGCUGGCAGUAAAAUAUAGAGCCAAACACAGUUUUUCCACCGGAGAAUAUCUUGUUUCUACCUCGGUCAGAAUUCUGCUGAGGUAAUACACAGCCUGCUCUUUUCCUCCUUCAUUAUUUUGGGCUAGUAGACUCCCAAUUGAUCUUUCCGAUGCAGAAAUAUAUAGUUUCAAUGGCUUUCCCCUUUGAGGUGGCACCAGCACUGGUGGGGAAGUUAAGUAAGCCUUGAUGCUAUCAAAUGCCUGCUGGUGGGUUGGCCCCCACUCAAAAUUCUCCCUAUCCUUCAAUCUCUCAGUAGCGGAGUUAGUGGCUGGAUUUUGCCCGCCAAAUUGGCAAUGAAUCUCCUUAAGAAGUUGAUUUUACCUAGCAAUCUCUGAAGCUGUACUUUGUUGGUAGGUGGAAGUGACUCUAAUAUUGCCCGAGACUUAUUUUUGUCCACCUCCACACCUCUCUGAUGCACCAAGAAUCCCAAAAAAUUGCCCGCUCUUACUCCAAAAGCGCAUUUCUUUGGAUUCAUCUUCAACUUGUGGAUCCGCAUCCUCAUCAAUGCUUGCUUGAGGUCCACGAGAUGCUGCUCUUCUGUCUUAGAUUUCACCACAAUGUCAUCGAUAUACACCUCCAUGCUUUGGCCAAUUAAAUCAUGAAAAAAUGGCAUUCAUUGCCCUUUGAUACGUGGCGCCUGCAUUUUUGAGCCCGAAUGGCAUGACCAGAUAUUCAUAUGCCCCCACAUGACCAGGACAUCUAAAAGCUGUCUUAUGAAUAUCCUCUGGCGCCAUCUUUAUUUGAUUGUAACCGGCAUUUCCAUCCAUAAACGAUAAAACUUUAUGCUUUGCUACAGCAUCUAUAGAUAAGUCAGCCAUGGGCAUGGGAUAUUCAUCCUUUGGUGUGGCGCUAUUAAUAUUCCUAUAAUCAACACAACACCGUACUGCUUUUGUUUAUAGCUUUUAAAACGGGUACAAUGUUGGCUAGCCACUCUACAUAUUUGGCUGGUCUAAUAAAGCCAGCUUUCACCAGCCUUUCAAUUUCUUCUUUGACUUUUUCUUCUAUCUCCUUUGACAUCCUUCGUGGUGCCUGCUUGACAGGUUUAUAUCCUUCCUUGAUGGGCAUUCUAUGUUCCACCAAGGCUGGGUCUAAUCCUGGCAUCUCGGUGUAAUGCCAAGCAAAACAAUCUUUGAAUUCUUGCAAAAGAGAGAUAAUCUUGGCCCGAUCCUCAAUCCUUAAUAAACCGCUGAUUUGAAUUGGUCUCGGAUCCUCUUCUGUGCCUAGAUCAAUAACUUCCAAUGGAUCCUGGACUUCUGGAGGUGGCUUAUUAGGUUCUGCACACAAAAAUUUAACUAACUCCGGGUUCUCGGGCAGACCGUCUGGCUCGUCUAUAUCGUAGACGCAUUCGGCCAUUUGAAUGGCCUUAUCUAACUCCUCUGUGCAAGAUUCUUCCUCAUUUUCCUGUUGGCUGGUAGAAACUUUCCCCUGCCACUCCUGCUCUUCUUUAUCCAAGAGCUUUUCUUCCUGUUUUCUUCCCUUUACAUACACCAACAGUCUUUUAAUCAGGGAUCUGACUGCCAUGACCUGAUCUUUCUUCUUUUGUUCGAUCAUUGAUGAUAUAGAGAGUUUGGUAUAAGACAGGGUCUCUCCCACUCCUCCUUGGUAAGGAGCAUCCCUUGUUCUAGAAGCUUUCGGGCCGUCACCUUGGUAGGGCGGCCGUUCUCAUCAGCUCCUAAACAUUUCAAAAUUCCCACGUUGGGAUUGUAGAAAUUUGCUUCUGCAACAUUAGCUGAGGGGAGGAACGGCCGUGAUUCGGCCUCUACCAAUUCCCAAAAGCUUGAUCCUUCAGUACUUGCCUCGUGGUAUACAGCCACUUGUUGAUGAAGAGUAGAAGGUAUGGCUAAACUUUGAUGAAUCCAAUCUCUUCCAAGUAGGGCCCCGUAAGUGGAAGUGCAGUCUACUACAAAGAACGCCAACAUUAUUUUCUUGGACCCCAGAUCUACCUCCAAAGGUAAUAUCCCAUGAGUCCUGGUGAUGGCACCUGAAAAGCUCGAGACUGUAAGGUUUGUGGGAAUAAGAUCUUCAGUGCUUCUCCCCAUCCUCUUCAUCUGCUUGGCUGGCAAUAUGUUAACAGCCGCUCCUCCAUCAAUCAAAAUUCUUUUGAAAGGUACACCUUCCAGAUGAGCUGAAACGUAUAUAGGCUUCAGGUGGUUGGCCAACGAAAUACUUGGGCGGCUGAACACCAUUUUAUCUGUGUAAAUCCGUAGGGGACCACCUUUAGGUACUUUUGAGGAUUCAACCUUGCCUGAGUCUUCCUCUGUAACUACCUCCACAUUGACGUGAGCCAUCAUCGGCUCAGUUGUUAAAUAAUCACCUUCCAUGGUAGCGGGCUGGUCAGGCCUGGCGCCAAACAUGGCGGAUAAUACAUACGUCAUGUUGAUGUGGAAGUUGCUGGGUUCGAGCAAGUCCUCCUUCUUGCUCCCAAUGUGAUCCAUGAACUCGUCUAACCAAGCCAUUGCAUCGGCUGGUAGUAAGGGCUCUGGUAUCCCUUCCUGUUGUGGUUGAUUCAGGUCUCCGUACAGUGCUUGCUUUGGAACUUCACCAAACGGAUCCAAAGGCAGAAAGGUUGGUCUCCUCUCAGAUGCAACAGUUUCCUCAUGGGUGGGCCUUGGCCUCCAACCAGGUGUUGGCAUCAUAGUCAGAUCUUCCUGAGCCCUUCUUAAGAUCCUAUACUUGCCAGGAUGUUGGCUUUGUGGCACAUGAUUCCCCAUACCUUCCGUCUUGCCGUUGGCCCUUUCUACUUCCUUCUUACUUCGCCAACGAAGCUGACUACUACUUCCAGAUGUUGCCCUCUCUGGCUUUUGAUUUUUUGAGGCUUCAGAGGUGAUGGGGGUCAUCAGGGAAUUCAUGUAGGCUUUGUGUUGCCUUUGAACCCUUCUGACCAUGGAUGCUCCCAUUGGUCUGGUGGGCUGCCCAUCUUUUCCAACUACAUACCAUUUCCGCCCACGAUAUGCAGGAGUUGCUUUCUUAACAGGAUUAGCUAUCCCAUCAGUUCUUCUGACUUCCUUCCCCUUUUGGCCAUUUUGAAACUGCUCUGUACUUCUUUGGAGUUUGGCUUCCAUGUCCUCUGCCUCGUCAGAAACUUCAUAGUUUCGAAAUACUUCUGACAACGCCUUGGGUUGGGAAUCACCUCCUAAACGUUGAAAAACGCUUCGGGAAGUAUUUUUUCUUGUUGCCUGCUUAAGCCUUUCGCGGGCUUCUCUUUUAAUUAACUCGUGAUCAAUAAGGACUCCAGCUAGGGGAAUCUCGAGUUCACAUUCACACUGGCAUUUACUACACAUAACCAGCCCUUUGAUUAUGGCAGCCUUUGGGUACUCGGAUGGUUUGCCUAUCCCUUCCGUAGGUCGUUUGGCUAGUUUCCCUUCUUCUUCUUCCCUUAUAAUUUUCCCUUUUCCUUUCUCUGCCCAGGUCAUGUUGAGCAUGUUUACCGGGGCUUCAGAAAAGGGCAACACAAGUUUGACUAUGACUACCUCAUCUGGUUGGGUAAUCCUGUGUCUUUCUCCUUUGGGAGGAGCCAAACCUGUCUCAUUUCUAGAGCCUAGAGAGGCUUCAUUCAGUCUCUGUAGCAUUUGAAACAAUGUAUUCUGUAAAUCUUCUGGCAUGUUUAUCUUUAUCUUCAGAUCAGAGGAUCCCACCGGGCGUGCCAAAACUAUGUUCGUCGCAGGAAUCUCCUGGCGGACGAGCACACAGCUCCCCUGGGAGAAUGGCGUCGGUUGAGGGUAUCUGUCGUACUUCUGCUUUCUUCUCGGGCUCGCUCGGGCAAGCCUUUGUCGGGCAAAUCUUGGUCGGGCAAGACACACUUCGGGCAAGGCUCGUCGGGCAGUUCUUAUCGGCCAAGGCUGAACUUCUUACAAAAUCUAUCUUUGUGGCUCUGUCAGAGGUCUGAAAGCUUUUAGAGGGGUUGACGGGGGAGAAGAGGAUACAAAAUGAAUCGCUACCACCAUGAACAAGGUAGCAGAGCUAUUACAGGGGUUUGGGAAGGUUUAUCCCGAAUGGGAUGAAGGCUUGUGCUGACUACAGCUUCGUUGAAGGCAAAUCUGGCUUGAGC
rnacentral:lncRNA from 1 species